GUUUACAGCCAUGCCAUUUUGUAUAUACCCAAUCUCAUAAGAUCUUGGAAGCUGAACUGGCUUGGGCCUGGUUAGUACUUGGAUGGGAGAUCAGCUGGGAAUACCAGAAGUUGUAAGCU
rnacentral:rRNA from 1 species